rnacentral:lncRNA from 1 species
AGAAUUCAACAAAGACAUUCUUUGUCUUGUCUAAAGCAACUUCUUGGAAGUUCUUUCCAACAAGAACCUUGACAGGCUCUUUGUCCCAGUCUUCUGGUAAAUCUUCUGACAUUCUGUGUGGCUAAACAAAAUAUGGAUAACGUUUAGCUACAUGUCAUUACACAAUUGUGUGCAUAUACUAUGGAUCAGAAGGUCACAUUGGACUAAACUCAAAAUUCCCAAAUCCAAUUGAAUCCAUUUAAAACCAAACCUAAACAUAGCAAAACUAGGGUGAGGUGAUUAAUCGGAA